GUGGAUUAGAUACCCGGGUAGUCCACGCUGUAAACGAUGGAUACUAGGUGUAGGAGGUAUCGACCCCUUCUGUGCCGGAGUUAACACAAUAAGUAUCCCACCUGGGGAGUACGGCCGCAAGGUUGAAACUCAAAGGAAUUGACGGGGGCCCGCACAAGCAGUGGAGUAUGUGGUUUAAUUCGAAGCAACGCGAAGAAGCUUACCAAGGCUUGACAUAAUAGUGAAUAUGGCAGAGAUGUCAUAGUCCUUCGGGACACUAUUACAGGUGGUGCACGGCUGUCGUCAGCU
rnacentral:rRNA from 1 species